UGGGGAAUCUUGCACAAUGGGGGAAACCCUGAUGCAGCGACGCCGCGUGAACGAUGAAGCCCUUCGGGGUGUAAAGUUCUUUCGACAGGAACGAUAAUGACGGUACCUGGAGAAGAAGCUGCGGCUAACUACGUGCCAGCAGCCGCGGUAAUACGUAGGCAGCGAGCGUUGUUCGGAGUUACUGGGCGUAAAGAGUGCGUAGGCGGCGAGCGAAGUUGGGUGUGAAAUCUCCCGGCUUAACCGGGAGGGUGCGCCGAAAACUGGUUGGCUGGAGUAUGGGAGAGGAAAGCGGAAUUCCUGGUGUAGCGGUGAAAUGCGUAGAUAUCAGGGGGAACACCUGCGGUGUAGACAGCUUUCUGGACCAAAACUGACGCUGAGGCACGAAAGCGUGGGUAGCAAACA
rnacentral:rRNA from 1 species